CGGAGGGGGCUAGCGUUGUUCGGAAUUACUGGGCGUAAAGCGUACGUAGGCGGCUUUGUAAGUUAGAGGUGAAAGCCCAGAGCUCAACUCUGGAAUUGCCUUUAAGACUGCAUCGCUUGAAUCGUGGAGAGGUUAGUGGAAUUCCGAGUGUAGAGGUGAAAUUCGUAGAUAUUCGGAAGAACACCAGUGGCGAAGGCGACUAACUGGACACGUAUUGACGCUGAGGUACGAAAGCGUGGGGAGCAAACAGGAUUAGAUACCCUGGUAGUCCACGCCGUAAACGAUGAUGACUAGCUGUCGGGGCGCUUAGCGUUUCGGUGGCGCAGCUAACGCGUUAAGUCAUCCGCCUGGGGAGUACGGCCGCAAGGUUA
rnacentral:rRNA from 1 species